rnacentral:lncRNA from 1 species
UCUGUAGCCUGCAAAGGAGAGGCUAGGUUACUGGGUACCAAGAGACAACGUGGGAGAGGAUCAAAGCAGCUAAGGCUGCAGGGCAACCCCACCCACACAUACCCUCAGCUCAGCUUCUCCCUCCUUAUUCUUGGGCUGGAAAUACUGUAGGGUUUACAGUGGUGCAAAUCUCAUUCCUUCCCAGCUCCAAGGAGCCUUUGCUGAAGAUUACAGGAUCUCCCUUCAUAGUUCCAUGAACCACCCUGGGAGAUCUUGGUGAGCAAUGAGCAUGAGACACAGGCCGUGGUGCGACUAAAGAGCGUGCAGGGCCUCUACCUGCUGUGUGAGUGUGAUGGCACCGUGUGUUAUGGCCGCCCAAGGACCAGCCACCAUGGGUGCUUUCUACUGCGUUUCCACCGGAAC